rnacentral:lncRNA from 1 species
GAAGAAUAGGGGACCUCAAGGAGUUAAAAGAGAGGAGAGGAAAAAGAAGAAGGCAUUCGAAGAUCAGGAUUUUGGAGUCAGAGAGCUAGCUUCAAGUUCCUUCGAAAGGUGUAGAAUUGGUUUUCAUAAGGUUUAGGAGGAUUUUGCAAUCAUUGCUCAAAAUCAGUAUUUGUAUUGGUGAAUUGGAUUUUUACAAUAAAGUAAAGGCUAGUACUCUUGACUGUUUUGUAAAAUUGGAGAGACAUCCGUGGUUGAAUUUUUAGAGGUGUCUAGAUGAUUGAGUAUACUAAGGACAUGCAAAAAUUUGUGUUAAUCUUAUAAUACAAAUAGAAGAUAUUUGAUCAUUAGUGUAAAGAGAUAUCACAAGUUGGCAUAUUGGAGUUGUUUAGGAUUUUUGUAAUAUCUGAGUUCUAACGGUUGGAAUAAGGUGAAUUUUGACAUAGUAAGUCGAGGACUUAAAGGCGGAGCUGCACACAAAAUUUGAAUAGGAAUUAACGGUUAGAAAAAGAGAAAUUACAAGUUAAAAUUCAUCAUCAACCUUCUAGUCGGCGAUCAAGGAACUUCAGCGUGGAUUUACGGUAUUUUCUUACAAUCUGUAAGUUGGAUUGGAUUGAAACUUCUUGAGCAUUUAGAAGACUUGUAAAGACACUAAUGAUAGAAGUUUUAUAACAAUUGGAUAGUCAGAUUGAGAAUUACAGCUUGUCGUGGCUUGUUGUCUAGGGUUAGGAUUUAAAAAUAAAUAAAUAAAUAAAUAAAAAUGUAAAAAUAUAAAAAUAUAAAAAUAAAAAAUGAAAUAAAAAUAAAAAUGAUGAAUAACAAAAGAAUCUUUGCUUAUAAUAUCUAGAAGCU